GUAGAGUGGGAAUAAAAUAUAAACCUAAUUUAAAGUGACUUGAUUGAUUUAACAGCAUUUUGAAUUGUUUUAAAACGCUAAAAUCUAAUUAAUUAUAUUUGGUUCCCCACCAAAUACCCCACCAGAAUUUCUUUCUGGUGGGGAUUUUUUA
rfam:Streptococcus salivarius SK126 contig00382, whole genome shotgun sequence.